AUGUCCAAUAUCUGUCACACUCAAGCUUUCAUAUCCUUCACAGAAAACUGAUGGUGUGGUUUAGUCUCGGUCGGUAAUGAAGGAUCCCAACGAGGAGAAAGUGUACUCUAGGAGGGAACAGGACUUUCAUCUGGCCAACAUACCCAACCUUGGACUAUAUGAUGAGGAUCUUGAAAUGGGCAUAUGGUUCGGGAUUCUGAGAGGCAUAUCAGCCAUAGCAGUAAUGUCCUAACCCUGGUUGGUGAUGUACCUCGUCCGAGACAUGCCAGGAUCAGUGAAGCUUCAGAUGCUGAGGGAAAAUUUCUAAGCCAAGGAAGCACUUUAUACAAUGGAGACAGUAUCGAAGGCCAGACAUGGCGAUGAUAAUGCCACUGACGCCACCAGGAUGCAAUUCUGAUGACAACUACGAGGUUUAUCUCCGAGACAAAUGAUAACUGGAAAAAAAUAGAUACAAAAAGAGAGGUGUUUGUCCCUGAUUACUAACAUCAAAGGCAACUGUUAACUUGUGAUUUUUAGAAUAAUCUGUGAUUAUCAUAAAUACCCUUUUUUUUUUUUUGGCCUAAUUUCAACCUUACAGCAAAUUACACAUUUAAGUGUGUUUU